AAGCAAUUUAUCCUUAACAUUUAAAAUUAAAUUGAAAAGUUAAGAAAUAAAUAUGUAUAUGAAAGACGUGUCUUGUAAUUAUUUGUUUGGUGUAAACACGACCACAUAUUCCAUGUAUUUAUUAGAAUCUUCAUAAUUUGUUUGUUUGAUAACUCGGGUGACAAAUCUAAUAAUUUUCGUCAAUGACCCAACCUAAAAAGGAUUCUAAUUGAACUACAUCUCUUCCCUAAACACAAAACCCCAUAAUUCCAUUUUCAGAACACACCAAUUAAGCAAAAAACCAAAGAUGGGGCGUUUCAUUGCUCUUGCACUUGUCGUAGCUGCUUUUCUAAUGAUUUCCUUCUCUCAGUGUCACGGUUAUCCAUUCUCUUUUCUUUCCAUGUUUUUUCCUCUUGGAUUCUUACUUAAUUAGAAAUUGACUACAAAAUGUGGAUUAGUAAUCUUUGUUGAAAUAUUCUUUGUUCACUAACUUUAUUCUGCUGUUUUGAUUGUUUAGGAUUCGGUAGAAAAACAUUGGGAUCUUUUGGCUAUGGACACACCCAUAGAGUUUUGCUUGAGGUUCGUUUCUUUUUCUUUUUUUCUUUUGUAAUUUUAUUUGAAUGCUUUCUGUCCCAAAAGGAACAAUAUUAUUUGGUCAUGAAAAUUAUUUUUACUAUGAAUAAAUAUUGUGUAUGGUAGAAUGAAAUGGUUGAGUAAUUGAAAAAUGAGAUCAUUCAGGAAUGGAAUAUUCAUCAAGGGUUGAGAGUAAUUGAAUUUUUGGUCGUAGAUCCGUAACACAAGAAAGUGUUUUUAAUUAUUCCAGCAGAAAUGAAACACUCUGUGUCAAUUUUAUAUCAUAAAGUUAUUAUUUGUGAAUUAUAUAACUUCUUUUUUUACCACAUUUUUAUACAACUCAAAUUAUCUCUGGUUAUAAAAUUUUACUAGUACUUAUAGUUCUUAAAAGAUUGAGGUGUCCAAGUCCAAUGGAGACCGAUGUUGAGACGAUCUGAUCCUCCUGCUCCAAAAUCUAUUGUUCUUUUUGAAUCAAGAGGAAAUAUUUUUUAUGUAUUCUCUAAAUUUGAAUAUCUUAUUUCAAAAGGAUUGAGAAAUUAACAUGUAAAUUCACUUUAAAAGUUAGAUGUAUCUUCGUACCUGUAAUUCCAAAGUUCUUUUGAGACGGAAGGUGUAUACUAUUUUCAUCGUGGUUCAUUUCAUAUUUUUCCUUGACUCUUUUUGAGGGUUUAAAAUAUAGAAUUCAUGCAGAUAUUUUAAGGGCAAGUAAUACAUUUGGUUGGUCAGCCCAAAAUAAUUGUAUCCGCUAGUCAAUAUACAAAAAAUAUAUAUUAUUAUGCAUAAAAAUAUGACUAUUUUUUGUAUAUUAUAUAUUCAUAUACAAAAAAUUUACAUUUCGCCUGCAAUUUUGAGAGGCACUAUGGUGUGAUUUUUCCAUAAUUUAAUUUAACGUGACAGGAGAAACCAAGGACAGCGUACGAGGCGGACUAUGCAUAUGCUGGGCCAAACUUCAAUUCCCAUUCUGGUUUUCUUUUUUCUCCACCUUUUCCUCCGCCACCUCAACCUCAAGACAUGAAUUGACCUUUUAAGCUUCAUAAGUUUUAUCUCUUCAGUUGAUGAGAUUUGCAAUUUUUUUAUGAUUGUUUUCAUAUGCGCAAAAUACAACACUGGCUGGACAGCUGAAAUUAAUUGCAUUUGUCAGCCGACAAGUGAAUAAAAUAUGUAUAUUUUUUAUAUGUAAUACACAUAUAUUCAAAAAAUAUACAUUUUGUCUGAUAUUAUUUUAAGAGCUGUUAAAAAUAUG
rnacentral:lncRNA from 1 species